rnacentral:rRNA from 1 species
UGGGGAAUAUUGCACAAUGGGCGCAAGCCUGAUGCAGCCAUGCCGCGUGUAUGAAGAAGGCCUUCGGGUUGUAAAGUACUUUCAGUCGGGAGGAAGGUGGUAAGGUUAAUAACCUUGGCAAUUGACGUUACCGACAGAAGAAGCACCGGCUAACUCCGUGCCAGCAGCCGCGGUAAUACGGAGGGUGCAAGCGUUAAUCGGAAUUACUGGGCAUAAAGCGCACGCAGGCGGUUGAUUGAGUCAGAUGUGAAAUCCCCGGGCUUAACCCGGGAAUUGCAUCUGAUACUGGUCAGCUAGAGUCUUGUAGAGGGGGGUAGAAUUCCAUGUGUAGCGGUGAAAUGCGUAGAGAUGUGGAGGAAUACCGGUGGCGAAGGCGGCCCCCUGGACAAAGACUGACGCUCAGGUGCGAAAGCGUGGGGAGCAAACAGG